AGGUUUUUUUCAAUUAUGUCCCAAUAUUUUAAAAGGUCUCAAUUUAGUCCCUAUUUUUGCAACAUUGAUUCAAUUAAGGACAUGCCGUUAAGUUUGAUGGAUGACGUUAAAAUUGGGUGUGCGUGGCAUCCAUGGUCUGCUGAGGUGGCACUGUGUUCUGAGAUGAGUUGACUUUAAUAUAUUUUUUAAUAAAAUUUGAUUGCAAAUAAUUGAAGUGUGGUAAUAAAACACAACGUUUUAUUAAUGAAAGUCUGCAAAAUCAAAACGUGCAGUUUAACUUGUAGAAGUUUUCAGAACAAAGUGAGAAAUUAGAAAUUGGGGAUUUUGGGAGAAAUUAGAAACUAACCCUAAGUUCGAAGACGAGAAUAGGUGUGCCUGAGGAGAGCGAGUUUGGUGCAAAACGCGAAUUUGUUGGAAAACGAUGUGGAAGGACCAUUCUUCUUGUUCGUCGAGCUGCAAUGUAUGGCGGAAGGAGAAUCCUAAUCUGUGUUCACCCAUUUGCCACUAUGGAGAGAGAUGUGCCUUGAGAACUGCUAAAACUAUCAAGAGAGAUGGGCUAUCAGUGGCUUAUAAGUCCUGUGUAGUGUUUGAUCAUAUGUAGACUGUAUUUUGUUAGUCAAAUUUGGAGUGCAGUGUAUUGUUUGAUCAUAUAUAAACUAUAUUUUGUUAUUGAAUUUUGGACAACUGUAUUUUGUAAGAAUACUUUUAAUGAUUAAUGAAUUUGGAGUGUUGACUAUAAUUGUAUUCUGGUUUGAUCAUGAGUGAUAGAAAUCUA